UCAGGAGACAGCAGGGACUUUAAAGACCCAAAUUACAGAGAAAGGGAGAGAGAGAAGGAGAAUACAAGAGAUAAAAAGGAGUCUAUGCAUCUUAUCGUACUAAUGAAAUCAACCUGACAAUCAUGGCAGGCUGCAAGGGUAUUACACUGUCUGGUAUUAAAUGAGCAGUUACAGCACAGGCUCCUGUAUCAAACAGCAAAUAGACACGAAAGAGAAGAAAAAUGUACCGCUAGGUCAAGGCGAGUGAUUUAUAGGGAGCAGUUAGACAGCUGGUCAGUUUUAAACCCUCCUCAAGCACGCUGUCAGGAUAAUAACGUAUUCAAAUGCUUCGAUUAGCAUUUCAAGGGACAGGGAAUGUUCUGCAACACAGAAAACCUCGGUGAGCCCUAAAAUGCAAUUAAUGAGGAAACAGCAAUUGCCCGCAGCUGUUACUCUGUUUAUGUGCAGAGGAACAAUCACCUGUUGCAAAGGCAGCAAUAAUCCAGCCUGUUCUGUGGACACAUUUGACUAAUUUUGACUGUUUUGAACUGCGAUGCCUUGCUCUCCUUGAACUUGCUGCAAAAGGCAGCUCUUCCAGCAAGUGGAAGCAGCUGAGCCUCAUUUGGUCCCAAAAGGCUGUUUUCCAAAAACAUGGGAGUUUCAAGAUCUUUCAGAUGGAGAUAACAGCCAACUAAUUCUGCAACUGGAAAAAGACAUGGCACCCAAACUGGGCUUUGGGAGCAGCACUGAAAUACUCGUGUUCAGAGUUCAGUUAGGAAAGGAAAAAAUGAGGCAUCUCUGUGAAUAUUUACCCAUCUCUGACAAGGGGGGAGAUUUUGCUAUGAAUCAGCUCCCAGAACUUGUGCUUGGUUUUGUGUUCAACUCUAGACAAGUUGAUUGAACAAGAAGAUGAUGGGAAGCAGCCAUUUUAAUCAGCUUACUGAGAUGGAUCUCGAUGUCCUUGGGAAGACAGCAGAGGCUGACGUCCUCCCCACCACACCGGGUUGAAGUGCAGUCCCCAUCACAUGCUGAGGGCAGAGCAGUGCUCAGAGGUGCCCCUUGGGUUUAGGACAAUUUCCUGAAGAUGCUCAGGCUGGCUUGGCCCAUGGAACUGACAAAUCCCAGGCCAGCUGAGGUACUCUGAGCAGCUCUGUCUGUACUUUUCCAUUGAUCCUUUGCCUAGAUAUAUAGUUCUGAUUUUGUCUGUGUCAUGGGAAGAUGUCAUCUUGAUCCCUCUACAAGGCUUUCAAAUAGUAACAUUUUGUUUGAAGGGAAAAGGAAAGAAAAAAGCAAGUGACAAAGAGCACUUAAUCAGUAUUACUCAGUAUGUUUACAUUUAUGCUUGAAGAUGAGCAACAUGAUGUAUUUCUGUUCGUGUUCAUGUGGAUAAAAACCUUCUAUGCAAUUGCUAUGACCUACCAUUU